UUUCAUUUUCGAACUUAAGUGCUGAAAACGCAAAGGCGUAAUUUCGUGCCCUCUGUGGUCGCCUUAACCGUGCGGUUCCAUAUUCGUGUGUUUCACAAGCAUCGUGUUUCACUUUUAUCUCAACAGUUUGUGUCUUUACCAUCGCGUCUCCGUUCGUUAGAUCGUUCGUGCGUUAUGGCUUUGUAGGUGAGGAUUCUCGUGUUACGGAUCAAACACUAAAUGAAUGGCACAAAAUGAAUGGCCAAGGUCUAUAUAGGAUGUUCCACCGACCAAUAAAAGGAUGCCACCAUUGUCGAAUUUCCGGCUGACGAAGGCACUGCUUCAGCAAAGGGUGAAGGAUAAUGUGACUAUAAACCAGCAACUAUGGUUGGAGCUAUAUGUAGUGCACACAACAUUUCAAUAUGGUGGAACUGAAGGAAAGCGCCAUCGUCUAUGAGAAGCCAUGUUUUUCCUUCAUCCACCAGAAUACUAUAAUACUCCAGGGAAUUUUUGGAAGUUUAUUUUGCGGACAUUAAGAGCUGCCACAUCAAUAAAUACUCUUCACAUAAGAAUUUUAGUUUAGAAUUAAAUUGUAAAGUCGUUUUGAGAAUUUUUUGAUAGAUUUUACUUUUUGGCCAUUUUUGGUCAUUUUUGGGAAAAAGGCCCAUUUGUGGGCUGACUUAAGUUUUAGUGCAAAGGAGGGGGUAGACCUUAGGAACAUUUUUCAUUCUCUCAUUUUCAUGCUCUUGGUUUUGGACAACAAAGGGAGUUUUCUCCCAUAGGUAUCACUUUACAUUUUUCAGCACUUUGAAUUGGAGUAAUUUAAUUUGGAUUCCUGCACUUGGUUUGUCAAUUAUUUUCAUUUU